rnacentral:rRNA from 1 species
UACGUAGGGGGCAAGCGUUGUCCGGAUUUAUUGGGCGUAAAGAGCGUGUAGGCGGCCAAACAGGUCAGCUGUGAAAACUCGAGGCUCAACCUCGAGACGUCGGUUGAAACCGUUUGGCUAGAGUCCGGAAGAGGAGAGUGGAAUUCCCGGCGUAGCGGUGAAAUGCGCAGAUAUCGGGAAGAACACCCGUGGCGAAGGCGGCUCUCUGGGACGGUACUGACGCUGAGACGCGAAAGCGUGGGGAGCGAACAGG